UACAGAGGUCCCAAGCGUUGUUCGGAUUCAUUGGGCGUAAAGGGUGCGUAGGCGGCGCGGUAAGUCGGGUGUGAAAUCUCGGGGCUUAACUCCGAAACUGCAUUCGAUACUGCCGUGCUUGAGGACUGGAGAGGAGACUGGAAUUUACGGUGUAGCGGUGAAAUGCGUAGAUAUCGUAAGGAAGACCAGUGGCGAAGGCGGGUCUCUGGACAGUUCCUGACGCUGAGGCACGAAGGCCAGGGGAGCAAACGAG
rnacentral:rRNA from 1 species